CGAGGGGGGCAAGUGUUGUUCGGAAUCACUGGGCGUAAAGGGAGCGUAGGCGGAUGUUUAAGUUGGAUGUUUAAAACCGGGGCCUAACCUCGGAGCGGCAUCCAAAACUGGGCAUCUUGAAUAGGUCAGAGGCUGGUGGAAUUGGAGGUGUAGCGGUGGAAUGCGUAGAGAUCUCCAAGAACACCUAUUGCGAAGGCAGCCAGCUGGGACCAUAUUGACGCUGAGGCUCGAAAGCAUGGGGAGCAAACAGGAUUAGAUACCCUGGUAGUCCAUGCCGUAAACGAUGAACACUAGGUUUUGGGCUCGUCAACGGUCCAGAGCCGCAGCUAACGCGUUAAGUGUUCCGCCUGGGGAAUACGGUCGCAAGACUG
rnacentral:rRNA from 1 species